GUUUCCAUGGUGGAAUUGGUAGACACGAUAGAUUCAAAAUCUUUUGUUUCUUACGUGCUGGUUCGACUCCAGCUGGGAACA
rnacentral:tRNA from 1 species